CCUGUUCCCUAUAAAGUGCACCGCUUUUGACCAGAAUCCUAUGGGCCCUGGUCAAACGUAGUGCACUACAUAGGAAAUAGGGUACCAUUUGGGACUUAGAGCCAGGCCUAACAUGCUCCAGCCACUCUCAGCAUACAUCACAAGCUAUGAGACCACGCAUGCUAGACCGGUGACUUAAAGUAAAAUAAAUGGAUCUUUUGGACCCUUGUAAAAAUGGAACGUUGGUGGAGAGUUUUCCAAAACCAUCUCAAAUUGAUUGUUUCAGACGAGUGCUUUAUAUUGGCCUUUUGUAAAGUUGAGGUCCUAGGAUUAUAUUUUUGGAGGGGAACAAUCUAAGCAAAACCCAUAUGCUGUUCCUAUAUACAAAUCAUAUGCAGCUGAUCGUUUUAGUGAAUGGCCAUGCUUACCCUCUGACUGCGCAGUGAGACUCCAGCUGAUUUGAAGUCGGGGAAUAUGAUGCCUGCUAUCUCAGGAACAGCUUGUUGUGGUCAGACGGAGACAGUAGAGAGUGGGAGCUUCUUCUUGCUGGCCUUGCGCUAUGCACGUCUCAUCUGUGUUGGUGUCGGCGGCAGUGAUGAGCUCCUGCAGGACCUGGGCUUUCUUCUCACGCUCCUUUUUCCUGCUCUCAAUCAUCCGCAGCUCCUGCAUAAGAUACUCCUCUUCUUCCACCUGCAGGGCAAAACGGGGAAGUGCAACGUGAGUGCUGGGUCAUGUUCAUCAGGACAAAAAUGAAC
ensembl:lncRNA